UUCUGCCAAGAGUACCAGAACAAUGCGUUUGGACUUUACAUGGCAGGCAGAACAAUGAUGCUUUGUCCAACCUACUUUCUAUGAAAAAAAAAUACAUCUCCAUCUAAAAUUAUAAGCCAGUGACACCGAAAGAAGGUCUCAUUCUGCGGACUUCAGCUAUCCCUGAUUACUUCCCAAAGCCCUCACUCCAAUUACCAUGGUUUUGAAGGCUGAGCUUCCAAUAAACAAACACUGGAUGGACAUCCAGACCACA